ACCCACACCACAUUCAUCCCGAAGCCUUUCUCGCCGCACCCAGUGCAUACAGAGUGAGAAAACAAUUGAAAGAUGGAAGAAAAAGGCACAGUUUUUGAUGAGGGACCCAAAGCAGACACAUACCUGGGUUGGUCCAUCUUCAACACCAUAUGCUGCUGUACUCCUAUUGGAAUCGUCGCACUUGUGCUCUCCUUACGGACUGAUACAGCUAAUAUGAUUGGUGAUGCUACAAGAGCUAAUGCACAUUCCAGGCUGGCCAAGAAACUGAAUGUUGCCGCACUGUUGACUGGAGUCAUUGUUCUCAUCAUCUGUGCUGUUGUUUACGCAAUCCUGCUUCAAAGAAUCUAAAAUGCAAAAUACAAUGUAGAAGAGUCAAACCACAUCACAUCCUGUUUUCUGCAUACAACAUUGAAAGUAAUUGAAAGUAUUUGCAUUUGGCUUAAACGUCUGCUUUUUAAUUUCUCUUGUAUUGUAUUACAUUGUAUAAACCACUUGCACCGUUAUUGUUAUUUUUCAUAUAUGAAUGUAUCCUUUGUUUAUGAUGUAUGGAGGCAUCUUAGAAAUAUCUAAAUAAAAUUGUCCGAAUUUAUGCUACUUUCUUUUUCUUGGCCUCCUUUUUUUCCCCCAAUGCAAUAAAAUGUCUAAAAUUAAGUCAAAA